rnacentral:miRNA from 1 species
AUGGGAUCCUGUUGGUGGGUUAC